GAUGAACGCUGGCGGCGUGCCUAAUACAUGCAAGUCGAGCGAACGGACGAGGAGCUUGCUCCUCUGACGUUAGCGGCGGACGGGUGAGUAACACGUGGAUAACCUACCUAUAAGACUGGGAUAACUUCGGGAAACCGGAGCUAUUACCGGAUAAUAUAUUGAACCGCAUGGUUCAAUAGUGAAAGACGGUUUUGCUGUCACUUAUAGAUGGAUCCGCGCCGCAUUAGCUAGUUGGUAAGGUAACGGCUUACCAAGGCAACGAUGCGUAGCCGACCUGAGAGGGUGAUCGGCCACACUGGAACUGAGACACGGUCCAGACUCCUACGGGAGGCAGCAGUAGGGAAUCUUCCGCAAUGGGCGAAAGCCUGACGGAGCAACGCCGCGUGAGUGAUGAAGGUCUUCGGAUCGUAAAACUCUGUUAUUAGGGAAGAACAAAUGUGUAAGUAACUAUGCACGUCUUGACGGUACCUAAUCAGAAAGCCACGGCUAACUACGUG
rnacentral:rRNA from 1 species